UAGUUCCAGUUUAUGAAUUUUUUUAGUUCAUACUAUUGCUGUAGUAACAUUUUUCAUAUGCUUAAAGCAUAGGAUCUAUCCACUAUCAUUAUAUUGAUCAGGACAAAGCUGCAAUUUGGUCACUGUAAAGAAUAAAACAAUGGUUCUCCAGCUUCACAUGGACAAAGCUAAGGAUUUGUUGAACCAAAUUGUGGAAUCUGCAAUUAUGAUAAUCAAAGAUUGGGAGUGGGUUGUUAUUGAAAACCAUGGCAGGACUUUAGAUUCAGCUGUGGCUAGAAGUUUCACAAAAACUCUAAUCUGCAGGAUGGUGUUUGGGAGUGAUUGAAAUACUUAUGAACAAUGUCUCUACACAAGGUUGAUUGGUUGAAGGUUGUGUUUUGUGGGUGCUAGAAGAGAAAAGAAAAGAUAUACAAGUUACUUGCUUACUAGAAUUUAGGGAUAGGGGUUUAAUUUGAUGUAAUAAGUUCUACUAAUAUAUAUAAAUCUAAUUGUUAU